AGGUGGGAUACCUGAAGGCAGCAGAAGGCCUUGAAAAGUAAUGCACUGUUCUUCAUAUGAAGAUGAAGAGUAGCAUAUUCUGAUACCAGUCACUGUGAUCACUCAGCCCAGAGAUGUGACACAGGUUAGUCCACCAGUCCUGUGAGUCCCAGCAGACAUCUCCAAAAGAAAUCACCAGUCUGAUCACAAAGUUAAUCAGGGGAGAUGCUCUGCAUAACAGAGUGAAUAAACUUAAAGUCCUUAGCAUUCCCAUUUGCUUUUCUGGGGAUAAAUUCAGACAGAGAAAGGCAGAUCCCUGACUUUUGUUCUCUUCAAAACAAGAAUUAAGAUACAUGUGUUGGAAGAAUAUUACUGAAGUCACCCAAAG